UACGUAGGCAGCAAGCGUUGUUCGGAGUUACUGGGCGUAAAGGGUGUGUAGGCGGCCCCCUAAGUUUGGUGUGAAAUCUCCCGGCUUAACCGGGAGGGUGCGCCGAAGACUGGAGGGCUAGAGUGCGGGAUGGGAGAGUGGAAUUCCUGGUGUAGCGGUGAAAUGCGCAGAUAUCAGGAAGAACACCAAUGGCGAAGGCAGCUCUCUGGGACGGUACUGACGCUGAGACGCGAAAGCGUGGGGAGCGAACAGG
rnacentral:rRNA from 1 species